GUGCGUGGCUGGGCAGUGUCGGCAUAGGAGUGCACUGACCCAGCAAGGAAAAUCAGUUUGUUGUGGUUUCGGUGCGUAGCGCUGGAAUGGUAAUGAGCGAGAAAGCGCCUCGCUCUGUCACUUCCGUGCUCUGGCAAGCUCCGCGAGCAGCUCUACCUGUCAAGUAUAUUGGUACCUUGUUACCAACGAAAUUGCGAUUGAAAAGUAAUAAUGUAUUUGCCAGCUUAGUGGGAACACCUGGACCGCGCUGCUUCGAUGCCAUAUUGUGGUCGUUCACCUCUCCGGCAAUAUUUGUGUGAUUGCGUUUUGAUUUGAAAGUGGUCUGUGAAAUGUUACGGAAGUGUUAGACUGAGCCAGUUUUUAUUUAAUAAAGAUCUCGACAAAAUAUA
rnacentral:lncRNA from 1 species